AUCCCAUCAUCCUCUGCCAUCAAAAUCAAACUCCUACCCUCACUCCCCAAAGGGACUUCUCACUGUCUAGUCUUCUGGCAAAUGCGUUGUUUGGCACGUUCAAGCCAGAGCCCAAAGACACCACUUGGACAUCUACCAAGCUUUCCCUAGUCCAUUGGGGUAUUUUUGGCCUGGCUCAACCCCCAGGACAUGCAGAGCAAGGCCAAAAUCCAAUGGCUAAUGCCUGCAAGUCCUGAUGAGCAUCAGAAGGCAGAGGGAUCACUGGGGUAAGAGCAGAGAGACUUGGCCCUGUCAUACCUCUCAUACCACCUAUGUGGGACAACAAAGUCUCACACAGCCAAGAUUUGAUUCCCGAAGCUGGGGAGCAGGGACAUGUAAGAGACUAUGUAUGCAUUUCCAUGGGGAGGAAUACCUUGGCUCUGCUCUCAGCCAUGGAGCCACGGGGAAGCUCCAGGACAGAGGCCCAUAUAGCCACUGCACAACCCUGCCACUGCACAGCUCAUCCUACUGCCACAGUCAGGGGGACAACCAUGCCACCAUCUAAGGGAGCCUAACUUCCUGUGAGCACACAUCUGCAGGAGGAACGAAGGUGGCCAGGAGACCUGCAGCUGAGAGUAGUGGGAUCUGACAAAGUGUUUGAUGAAGUGGGAUGCAAGGGUGAUGCCACACAGAAUACCAGCGUGAAGACAUGCUGGUCCGGGCAGCUAGGUCUGGGACAGGACAGGGAUGAAGCAAUAACCGAUCCGAUGACACCAGGCAUGGACAGACCCCGAGCCUCAUUAAACCUGAUGUCUCUUCAAUCUAGAGCUCUGGUACUGCUUUCUCCAGAGGAGCCUACUAAACACAAAGCUGUGUGCAGAUUACCACUCUCCCUGUUUCCCAAUAUGCUAAGUGAGGACACAGAACCCUCACCAUCUGCCUUGGGCCCAAACUCACCAGUUCAGUGUCUACUGAUGAUCCAGCCAAUCACACCAUAGCCCAGAAAACAUGACUGCACACACAGGUUCACAUACACGGACACAUACACGGAUGGACACACACACACACACACACACUCUCCCCCCCCCCCAAAGAGCAGCAGUGCAAACAGGAGAGCAGCCCACUCCUUCAAGCUCACUGCGGAUCUGAAUUACAGGACAACAGUUACCAUUAUAUUUUACUCUUUGGCACACACCUGCAGUCAAUGCUAUUCAGGAUGGUGAGGCAGACAGACAGUGAAUUCAAAGUAGCCUGAGCUAUGUAAAGAGAGUAAGAUGAUCUCAUAAAACCAAAUCAGAGAAGACAGAAUGGAUAAGUACACGUGUGCCCUGACAGACACACACUUCGAUGUCAGCUGCAAUGACUUUGUAGGAAUAUAAACUAUGCUGUCAACAAUCCAAGUUGGAAGAUUAAUUCAACCUUGUGUGGGACAGAAGACUAAAGUCUACUGAUUAUCAUGGACGGCUCAGAUACAGCUGAACCCUCAUAAGCUCAUGUCAUCACCUACAGGCCAAAGGUAAUGUGCUGCUCCUCCUGGUGUCUUCACGCUGUUCCGCUCCCUAGGCCCUCUCAUCUGCUCACCAGAGUGAGCCUCCUGGCCACACCCUGAAGAGGCUGUUCUGUGCAGUCUUGGCCUCUGGGACCAACUGGAAAUGAUCUGCAUCCAUAGGCAGAAGGGUAACAAAACAGUAAGUGAAGAAACAUGACUGUUUUCAACAGCAUCAGAAAACCCUGAAAAGAAUCUGUUGGUCAACAGAGAUCCUGUCACUCCUCCAGCUUUUCUGGCUGCCUAAACCAGUGUUACCACUGACACGAACCUUUUUCAGACCAUGCUCCUUCCUAAAACAAGGAUUUGAAGUCAGCUUGCUGCUGGGCAAAGGCAGGAGCUGAGCGUAGGCUCCAGGGCACUAGGGUAGCACCCUGGCCCACAGAGAACAGAUGUAGAGCCCGGGCUCCAGACAAAACAGGCAGACACAGGAGCUCUGCCUUCCAAGUUGUCUACAUGAGGGCCUUCUACGUGCUAGGUAAAAUGCUCUACUCAUGCACAACCUCCCGCUGCCUCCAGCCCCGGAAAUGUUUUUGAGCAGACAUGUCUCAGCAGGAGCCUUUAGCACACUGAUUUCUCACCACCUCUCUCCCCUUGCAGGAUCCACAUACACUGAGGAUGAAAAUGUAAAGCCAGGUUCUAUCUGUGAAUACUUUCAUCAAAAAUGAGUUUCAGUCCUUUUACCCUGAAUCUCUGCCACCUACCUAACAUAUCUGUACUUUCUUCACAGCAGAACAGAAAACAGACCAGGAAAAUUUCAGGACUACAUUAAAUGUAGCUUCAUGCAAACAACACAAACCUAAGAGACAGAACAGAACUGCAGCUCUGAAAUAAAACAAGCACAAUCUUUCUACUGCUCCCUGCUGCGAGCCAUAGCAAGGGACAGUUAUCUGGGUUGGGCCUGUGGAUACUGGCUGCACAAGAUCUGCACCCACAGUAAGGAAACUCUAUGUGAAAAACAACAGAGAACUUGGUCUCAAGAGAAACCCUGAAAGGCAAACUUAAAAACUGAGGGCAGCACCUCCUUCUGUCUUUGGGAAGGUGAAAGACGGCUGGCCCUUCCUGGCACGGUCAAUAAAGUACAUCCAGCGAGCCA